GUAUUAGGUUUGUGUUUACAUUGGUCUCCAGAAAAGGUUUCAUAGAUUUCGAUAAGCCGUGUUACGUGAUGUUACUUACCUUUGGAUCAAACAUAAAGAACUGUGUUGUCCUUCUCCAGAAAUAUCUCUUGACGUGCAGAAUAUAUUGGGCUAUAUUUAAUAAAUUGCGAUUGUUGUGGAGCAAUCACACUGGAAACCAACCAAACCUUCUUGUUAAUUACUUAACAUUUUCAGCUUUACAAAUACACCGCGGCGUUCUUCCCACAUCAGCAAUGCAUAUUCCCAAUAAUUCUUUAAUGCAAAAUAGAGCAUUUGCACAUAAUGUGGGCAUGUUUAAAUUCUGUCAUAUGUAUAAAUCCAACGUACAAUGGAACUGAAUCGUAAAUGCAGCAUGUACGACACACUGAUAUUUAGUAGAUAAUGGCCUAAUAAAAAAAAAGAGAGAAAAGUUUCCAUAACAUGUAUGUAGUUUAUUUUCCCCUAUAACUUAUUUUUAUUUAAAGUAUUUUUUUUCUAUUUCGAUCUGGGAUUUUGUCAGCCCGAGGGUCAGCAAAAUGAAGAAAAAGAAAGCCAGGUUACAUUAAUUAAUUUUAAGGGGUUAAAAUCAAAUACGUGUUGUAGUGUUUUUACUGGAACCCUGUAAGCAGUGCAAGGGUUAAAAAGUAGGGUGCCUACUUUGGUCAAUCCUCUAGGUCUAAAAGAAUUAAAAUAGUAAUAAUUUCUCUAUUUUCUUUUUUUUGAUAAAGGAUAUACGGCAGGCGAAGAAUAUCUAUACUUUAUAUAAUAUCACUAGGGGUUCCGGCCCCUUCUCCCAGCGAUGUAAAUACUUUCCCACAGCCGUGCAUAUAUUUACUGUGUUAAUUGUCCUGUAACUGGUGAAUGGACACAUUUCUGGGUGCCUUAGAAGUCGUAUUUUUCAUGUGUGUUAAAAUACAGUAUUUAUACAUUGUGGAAAAAGCUGCUUUGAAUAAAAACUCUCAAAUUUC